rnacentral:SRP_RNA from 2 species
CGAUGAAAAUUGGGUCCUACGCAACGGAAGCCUAUGAACCCCGUCAGGUUCGGAAGAAAGCAGCGGUAAGUAGUCACUUUCGUGUGCCGUGGGAUUGCCUGGUUCG